rnacentral:ncRNA from 1 species
UUUAUUUAGAGUUUGAUCCUAGCUCAGGAUGAACGCUGGCGGCGUGGAUAAGGCAUGCAAGUCGAACGGAUUUUUCAAAAUCGAGAUGCGAUUAUAUCAAGUCAAAGGUCGUGAAAAAUUAGUGGCGAACGAGGUAGUAAUACAUAGGAACAUCCCCCAAAGUCGUGAAUAAUCCGGCGAAAGCCGGACUAAUACACGAUGGUCCCUGAGAAAUUUAUUUCGAAGGGUAAAGUUUUAACGCUUUGGGAAUGGCCUGUGCGAUAUCAGCUAGUUGGCAGUGUAAAAGACUACCAAGGCUAUGACGUCUAG